UGUCCGACCCUGUUGCCUCCGCGGCGACCCCGCCUUCCCGCGGGGGCUCCUCGUGGACACUUCCUACUCCUGCCUAACUUUGCUCUCUGAGUAAACUUAAUUAAUAAAUUAAAACUUUUUAUAUCGGAUCUCUUGGUUCUGGCAUCCAUGAAUAAAGCACCGAAAUGCGAUAAAUAAUGUGAAUUGCAGAAAUCACUGAAUCAUCUAAUCUAUGAACGCACAUUGCGCCCCCUGGUAUUCCGGGGGGCAUGCCUGUUCGAGCGUCAUUUCACCACUCAAGCCUCGCUCGGUAUUGGGCAACGCGGUCCGCCGCGUGCCUCACAUCGUCCGGCUGGGUCUUCUGUCCCCUAAGCGUUGUGGAAACUAUUCGCUAAAGGGUGUUCGGGAGGCUACGCCGUAAAACAACCCCAUUUCUAAUGUUGACCUCGGAUCACGUAGGGAUACC
rnacentral:rRNA from 1 species